AUUGAACGCUGGCGGCAGGCCUAACACAUGCAAGUCGAGCGGAUGAACGGUGCUUGCUCCUGGAUUCAGCGGCGGACGGGUGAGUAAUGCCUAGGAAUCUGCCUGGCAGUGGUGUAUAACGUCCUCACACGGGCGCUAAUAACGCAUACGUCCUGAUGCUGAACGUGGGGGAUCUUUGGACCUCACGCUCUCAGAUGAGCCUAGGUCGGAUUAGCUAGUUGGUGGGGUAAAGGCCUACCAAGGCGACGAUCCGUAACUGGUCUGAGAGGAUGAUCUGUCACACUGGAACUGAGACACGGUCCAGACUCCUACGGGAGGCAGCAGUGGGGAAUAUUGGGCAAUGGGCGAAAGCCUGAUCCAGCCAUGCCGCGUGUGUGAAGAAGGUCUUCGGAUUGUAAAGCACUUUUAGUGGGGAGGAAGGGCAGUAAGUUAAUACCUUGCUGUUUUGACGUUACCAACAGAAUAAGCACCGGCUAACUACGUG
rnacentral:rRNA from 1 species